GAUGAACGCUAGCGGCAGGCUUAAUACAUGCAAGUCGAGGGGCAGCGCAGUGUAGCAAUACAUGGGCGGCGACCGGCAAACGGGUGCGGAACACGUACACAACCUUCCUACAAGUGGGGAAUAGCCCAGAGAAAUUUGGAUUAAUACCCCGUAACAUAGCGAUGUGGCAUCACAUUGCUAUUAUAGCUUCGGCGCUUGUUGAUGGGUGUGCGGCUGAUUAGAUAGUUGGCGGGGUAACGGCCCACCAAGUCUACGAUCAGUAGCUGAUGUGAGAGCAGGAUCAGCCACACGGGCACUGGGACACGGGCCCGACUCCUACGGGAGGCAGCAGUAAGGAAUAUUGGACAAUGGACGCAAGUCUGAUCCAGCCAUGCCGCGUGAAGGAUUAAGGUCCUCUGGAUUGUAAACUUCUUUUAUAAGGGACGAAAAAAGGUCUUUCUAGAUCGUCUGACGGUACCUUAUGAAUAAGCACCGGCUAACUCCGUGCCAGCCGCCGCCGUAAUAC
rnacentral:rRNA from 1 species